AACUGAGGAUAAUACCGGAUAGGCAAUUAUUCCUGUAAUGGUUUUUUGUUUAAAUGUUUUUUCGCCUAAGGAUGAGUCUGCGGCCGAUUAGGUAGUUGGUUAGGUAAUGGCUUACCAAGCCGUUGAUCGGUACGGGUUGUGAGAGCAAGAGCCCGGAGAUGGAACCUGAGACAAGGUUCCAGGCCCUACGGGGUGCAGCAGGCGCGAAACCUCCGCAAUGUGAGAAAUCGCGACGGGGGGAUCCCAAGUGCCAUUCUUAACGGGAUGGCUUUUCAUUAGUGUAAAGAGCUUUUGGAAUAAGAGCUGGGCAAGACCGGUGCCAGCCGCCGCGGUAACACCGGCAGCUCUAGUGGUAACAAUUUUUAUUGGGCCUAAAGCGUCCGUAGCCGGUUUAAUAAGUCUCUGGUGAAAUCCUGUAGCUUAACUGUGGGAAUUGCUGGAGAUACUAUUAGACUUGAGACCGGGAGAGGUUAGAGGUACUCCCAGGGUAGAGGUGAAAUUCUGUAAUCCUGCGAGGACCGCCUGUUGCGA
rnacentral:rRNA from 1 species